AGUCGAUACGGAAACCUUCUCACCUCCUUCAUGUCUUCGUAGAAAAGGCCCUCUCGACACCUGGAAGAGGGAUUCCUCCUCCGAUGCUCCUGCUGAGGUUUCACGAUAUUUUUUCUGGAAAGUCAUUUUUAGUGUGGAGUUUUCCUCAUCGAAAGUGAGGCUCGAAGGAUCGAAGGUCUACAGGGUGGUGCUGGUGGCGUGGCUCGGGUCCUGGGCUGUCCCGGAGGCGGCUGGACACUGCUUGGCAUCCUCCUCAUCGUAUUCUUCACAUAUCUUGUAAUUCCAUUAGAAUUCUGGUAUCCUCUUUCAAUGUUGUAUUGUGUAAAUUGUUUUAUUCUGUAAACACAACAUUCAUUGCACGUUGUCUGUCUUGGGAGAGCGAUCCCUCCUCUGUUGCUCUCCCUGAGGUUUCCCCCUGUUAAA